UACGGGGGGGGUAAGCGUUGUUCGGAUUUACUGGGCGUAAAGGGCGCGUAGGCGGCGCGACAAGUCACUUGUGAAAUCUCCGGGCUUAACCCGGAGCGGCCAAGUGAUACUGUAGUGCUAGAGUGCGGAAGGGGCUACUGGAAUUCUCGGUGUAGCGGUGAAAUGCGUAGAUAUCGAGAGGAACACCUGCGGCGAAGGCGGGUAGCUGGGCCGACACUGACGCUGAGGCGCGAAAGCCAGGGGAGCGAACGGG
rnacentral:rRNA from 1 species